rnacentral:rRNA from 1 species
CCGGACCGCAUACAAGUCUGUUGGAAUACAGCGUCAUAGUGGUGAGAACCCCGUAACUGAUGCGGAUGCCCGGUGCUUUGUGAUACACUUUCGAAGAGUCGAGUUGUUUGGGAAUGCAGCUCAAAUUGGGUGGUAAAUUCCAUCUAAAGCUAAAUAUUGGCGAGAGACCGAUAGCGAACAAGUACCGUGAGGGAAAGAUGAAAAGCACUUUGGAAAGAGAGUUAACAGUACGUGAAAUUGUUGGAAGGGAAACGAUUGAAGUCAGACUUGUUAUCUGGAGUUCAGCCUUUCGGU